rnacentral:tRNA from 5 species
GCCUAUAGCUCAGUCGGUUAGAGCAGAGGACUCAUAAUCCUUUGGUCCACGGUUCGAGUCCGUGUGGG